CCCACUGAUGCCACCAUGUCAUGUGCAAGGAAGCAGACCACCCUAGGGACCGCAGCUUUGGGAUAGACCCUGGACUAAAGGGCCCGAUAAGUAAACCAAGGUUCUGAAGGAUGAAAGAUGUGUCUGAGGUCACACAGUCACUACCUUGCACUUGCCAGGCAGGCGCGACACCACUGAGCCACAUCCCCAGCUCAUGAGCUGUUGUUUCUAAACUAAGCUGUCAGUAUUCAGGUUCAACUACAGUGUUGGCACUUUGCGAUAUAGGGGCCACCAGGACACAUCACACUUAGCUAUCACAUCUCCUGAGGCUCUGCUGAGCCUUCGACAGGUUCUCAGAUGCUCCUGGCUUCUGAGGAACAUGGUACUUUGUGGAGCAGGCACAGAGGUCAGAAGCACACACUGC
rnacentral:lncRNA from 1 species